rnacentral:rRNA from 1 species
GCGAUGUGCCUAAUGUAUGCAAGUCGAACGAUUCCUGUAUCUUCGGAUACAGGGAGUGGCAAACGGCUGAGUAACGCGUAGGAACCUACCCCAAACUCGAGUAUAGCCCCGCGAAAGCGGGGGUAAUCCUCGAUAGCCCGUGAAGUAUUUUACUUCACGGUAAAGCUUUUGCGGUUUGGGAUGGGCCUGCGUCCUAUCAGGUAGUUGGUGAGGUAAAUGCUCACCAAGCCUAUGACGGGUAGCUGGUCUGAGAGGAUGGUCAGCCAGACUGGGACUGCGACACGGCCCAGACUCCUACGGGAGGCAGCAACUAGGAAUUGUGCGCAAUGGACGAAAGUCUGACGCCGCGACAUCGCGUGGAGGAUGAAGGUCUUCGGAUUGUAAACUCCUUUUCUUACCGAACAAGUUCUGAGUGUAGGUAAGGAAUAAGUGCCUGCUAACCACGUGCCAGAAGCAUCGGUAAUACGUGGGGCACGAGCGUUAUCCGGAUUUACUGGGCGUAAAGAGAAGCGUAGGCGGCUCAAUAAGUUUGGUGUUAAAUCUUCCGGCUCAACCGGAAACAAGCACCGAAAACUAUCGAGAUUGAGUCGAGUAGGGAAGAGGGGAAUUCCUGGUGGAGCGGUUAAAUGCGUAGAUAUCAGGAGGAAUACCAAGGGCGAAGGCACCUCUUUGGACUCGUACUGACGCUGAGGCUCGAAAGCGUGGGUAGCAAAACGGAUUAGAUACCCGUGUAGUCCACGCCGUAAACGAUCCCUGUUAGAUGU